rnacentral:misc_RNA from 1 species
GGAAGUAAAGUCGUAACAAGGUCACCGUUGGUGAACCAGCGGAGGGAUCAUUACCGAGUGCAAACUCAUAACCCUUUGUGAACCUAUAUCUGUUGCUUCGGCGGCUCGCUCUCGGGCGAGCCCGCCGGUAAUAUCAGUAUCUCUGUUUGAACCCGACGAUACUUCUGAGUGUUCUUAGCGAACAGUUAAAACUUUUAACAACGGAUCUCUUGGCUCUA